rnacentral:misc_RNA from 1 species
GAUGAAGAACGUAGUGAAAUGCGAUACGUAAUGUGAAUUGCAGAAUUCAGUGAAUCAUCGAAUCUUUGAACGCACAUUGCGCCCGUCAGUAUUCUGGCGGGCAUGCCUGUUCGAGCGUCAUUACGCCCCUCAAGUCCCCUGUGGACUUGGUGUUGGGGAUCGGCGAGGCUGGUUUUCCAGCACAGCCGUCCCUUAAAUUAAUUGGCGGUCUCGCCGUGGCCCUCCUCUGCGCAGUAGUAAAACACUCGCAACAGGAGCCCGGCGCGGUCCACUGCCGUAAAACCCCCCAACUUUUUAUAGUUGACCUCGAAUCAGGUAGGACUACCCGCUGAACUUAAGCAUAUCAAUAAGCGGAGGA